GAUGAACGCUGGCGGUGUGCCUAAUACAUGCAAGUCGAGCGAACAGACGAGGAGCUUGCUCCUCUGACGUUAGCGGCGGACGGGUGAGUAACACGUGGAUAACCUACCUAUAAGACUGGGAUAACUUCGGGAAACCGGAGCUAAUACCGGAUAAUAUAUUGAACCGCAUGGUUCAAUAGUGAAAGACGGUUUUGCUGUCACUUAUAGAUGGAUCCGCGCCGCAUUAGCUAGUUGGUAAGGUAACGGCUUACCAAGGCGACGAUGCGUAGCCGACCUGAGAGGGUGAUCGGCCACACUGGAACUGAGACACGGUCCAGACUCCUACGGGAAGCAGCAGUAGGGAAUCUUCCGCAAUGGGCGAAAGCCUGACGGAGCAACGCCGCGUGAGUGAUGAAGGUCUUCGGAUCGUAAAACUCUGUUAUUAGGGAAGAACAAAUGUGUAAGUAACUAUGCACGUCUUGACGGUACCUAAUCAGAAAGCCACGGCUAACUACGUG
rnacentral:rRNA from 1 species